rnacentral:rRNA from 1 species
UACGUAGGUGGCAAGCGUUGUUCGGAAUUACUGGGCGUAAAGGGCUCGUAGGCGGCCAACUAAGUCAGACGUGAAACUCCCUCAGCUUAACUGGGGAACUGCGUCUGAUACUGGAUGGCUUGGAUCCGGAAGAGGGAUGCGGAAUUCCAGGUGUAGCGGUGAAAUGCGUAGAUAUCUGGAGGAACACCGGUGGCGAAGGCGGCAUCCUGGGCCGGUAUUGACGCUGAGGAGCGAAAGCCAGGGGAGCAAAC